GAAUGGGCUGGGAGGGCUGGGGAGUGCCGCGGUUUUUCAAUAGCUUUAGCGGAGCUUCAGGAGUGUGCGGAAUCCUGGAGCAAGUUCUCAGGCCUGUUUGGGUGGCGCGGGAGCGCAUGGGUGUGGCGCUCCAUGCUGGCUUUAUGACCUGAAUGAUGGGAUCUCCCAGGGUGUCCUCCAACUCCAACAAACGCUACGUAGCUGAAGAUGCCCUUGAACUCCUGAUCCUCCUGCCUCCAACUCCCAAAUUGCUGUCACUUCAGAGAUUUGCCAUCUCACCUGACCUCAAAGUCGAUAUUUUUUUAAAUCGAUAAGUUUGAUUGGUUUCAAGGGUAUUUCAGGUGGAUCUGAAUUUUACUCGUGGCUUCGCAUUAGGAAAGUUACAGUGUCAUUUUCUCUCUGUGACUGUGAUAGUUUGAAAGAAAACAUCCCCCAAAGGAAGUGGCACUAUUAGUAGGUGUGACUUUGCUGGAGUAGAUAUGGCCUUGUUGGAGGAAGUGUGCCACUGUGGGGGUGGGCUCUGAGGUGUUCUUUGCUUAAGCUAUGCUCAAUGUGGUAAGUAGUUCACUUCCUGUCACCAAUGGGCCAAGAACUCUCCAUCCUUCUCCAGCACCAUGUCUGCCUGCAUGCCUGCCAUGCUUCUCGUCAUGAAAAUAAUG